rnacentral:lncRNA from 1 species
GCUUUCUUUUGAUUAGUGUGAACAUGGUAUAUCUUUUCCUGUACUUUCUCAGAGUAGUCUGUUCUCAGGCCAAGCUUGCUUCCUACUCUGCCAUAAGGUGAGCCACCUCUACCUGCCUGGAGAUCAACCUGCGGUCAUCCAGUUCCACCAGUGCCUGGCUGGAGCUAUAAGUUGGUGCUGUUUGCCAGGGUUGAUGUCUGCAGAGGGCCAGGGGAAUUCCAAGCAAGGGAAGCAAGGAGAGCUUCUUGGACUCCUCAAGGUCUUCUGUAGAGUGAGUGAAGGAAGCAGGGAAAGGGGUCCCAGCACAAUGGCCAGCCCUCCAAAGGCUCUGGGCCCCACAUGGGGACCGAAUGUGGAGUGAGGUAGCAGUGAGAAGGGGAGACAUCCUGGCUACCUAGGUGGUCCCUUGCUUCUUGUAGCUUUCUAAUCAUUUGUAGCUGGUUCUGGCAGCACCCAGAGCAGAACAGUGGGAGGAACUGGGAACUACUAUAGGUGGCGGAGGGAGUGGGACAAGGGUUGAAACCCUAUCUGCUGGCUACCGUGCCCACUACCUGGGUGACAGGAUCAAUCAUACUCCAAGCCUCAGCAUCAUGCAAUCGACCCGGGUAACAAACCUGUACGUGUACCCUCUGAAUCUAGAAUAAAAGUUAAAAUUAUAUGUAAAAAAAGGAUUAUGUUUUUCUAGUCUAGGUGGAUGAUCAGAUGGCUUCUCUCUUUCCUAACAGCAUUUACGGCCCUUCAACAUGGGGUGAGACACUGGUCUGAGAAGAACUUUGUUAAUUGUAUCUCCUAGGAGCACUCUGAACUAUUUAGUCUCCAUUCCCAGAGUGAAACACACAAACCCUCUUUGGAUUGCCAUCUUUCCCCUCCCUUUCAGCCCGGAUUCCUAGGAGUUAGCAUUCGCAUUUUUCGCAUUUGGGAGAAACUAUCUGCCCCUUGUGGAGAAGCUCUUGCCUCCUUGAAGAGACAAACCCAAUUUUAUCCCUUCUGAACCAUUGCAAGGUUUCUGCCAGUUGUAU